CCUACGGGAGGCAGCAGUGAGGAAUAUUGGUCAAUGGUCGGGAGACUGAACCAGCCAAGCCGCGUGAGGGAUGAAGGUACAGCGUAUCGUAAACCUCUUUUGUCAGGGAACAAAGGCGGGGACGUGUCCCCGGAUGAGUGUACCUGAAGAAAAAGCAUCGGCUAACUCCGUGCCAGCAGCCGCGGUAAUACGGAGGAUGCGAGCGUUAUCCGGAUUUAUGGGGUUUAAAGGGGGCGCAGGCGGUCUGUUAAGUCAGCGGUCAAAGCCCGGGGCUCACCCCCGGCCCGCCGUUGAAACUGGCAGUCUCGAGUUGGAGAGAAGUAGGCGGAAUGCGCGGUGUAGCGGUGAAAUGCAUAGAUAUCGCGCAGAACUCCGAUUGCGAAGGCAGCAUGCCGGCUCCACACUGACGCUGAGGCACGAAAGCGUGGGUAUCGAACAGGAUUAGAUACCCUUGUAGUC
rnacentral:rRNA from 1 species